rnacentral:rRNA from 1 species
CGGGGGUAGAGCACUGUUUCGGCUAGGGGGCCAUCCCGGCUUACCAACCCGAUGCAAACUGCGAAUACCGGAGAAUGUUAUCACGGGAGACACACGGCGGGUGCUAACGUCCGUCGUGAAGAGGGAAACAACCCAGACCGCCAGCUAAGGUCCCAAAGUCAUGGUUAAGUGGGAAACGAUGUGGGAAGGCCCAGACAGCCAGGAUGUUGGCUUAGAAGCAGCCAUCAUUUAAAGAAAGCGUAAUAGCUCACUGGUCGAGUCGGCCUGCGCGGAAGAUGUAACGGGGCUAAACCAUGCACCGAAGCUGCGGCAGCGA